rnacentral:rRNA from 1 species
GUAGCUCAUUUGAGAGCAUGAGCGGCCGCAUGGGAACUGAGACACGGUCCCAAGUCCUACGGUAGUCAGCAAUGGGGCAUAGUGCACUAUGGCGGAAUCCGUGAUGCCGCGACGCAGCGUGAGUGAAGAAGUAUUUAGGUAUGUAAAGAUGUAUCAGCAGGUAAGAUAAUAAGGGUACGUGAGUACGAAGCUCCGAAUCACUGCGUACCAGCAGCCGCGCUAAUACGUAAGAGAGCAAGGGUUCUCGGGAUUUCCUGGGUGUAAAGGGUGAGUAGGUGGCUGGGCAAGUCAGAUGUUAAAGACUGGGGCUCAGCCCCUGAGCUGCAUUUGAAUUUGCAUAGUUAGAGUACAGGAGAGGCAGGAGGAAUUCGUAGUGUAGCGGUGAAAUGUGUAGAUAUUAGGAGGAACGCCAGUCGCCAAGGCGGCUUGCUGUACGGUAACUGACGUUGAGCCUUGAAACCGUGGGGAUCAACCAGGUUUAGAUGCGAUGGUCGUCCGCGCCGUUACCGAUGAAUUCUAGGUGUAGGGUGCCAGAGCCAUUCGGUGCCGUCCCAUACCUCAGUAAGUAUUCCACCCGCGGGAGUUACGUUCGCAAGAAUGAAACUCAUAGGAAUCGACGGGGUCCCGCUACAAGCGGUGUGCAGUCAUGUUGUUUAAUUGGAAGACAACUGCAGAAGAACCUUACCAUAUUUUGACAUCCGUCUUACCGGUAUCUAAUUGUACCUCAUCUUCGGAGCAGAGGCGACAGGUCGUGCAGUGUGGAUUGUCAGCUGGGUUUCAGUGACAAUGGGUCAAGUCCCCCUAUGAGCCCAACCCCUAUUCUUAGCAGCCAGCAUCUAAGGCGGCCCCUAUGGGGAGAUCGCCAGGGAUUCCAUGUAGGACGGCGGGGAUGUUGUCCAAUCAUCCUGCCCGCUAUGAUUUGGGAUACACUCGUGGCACUAUGGUGUAAACAAAGUGAAGCGAGAUGGUGCGAGGGAGCCAAUCCCAAAUAUACCGUCCCACUUUCGGUUGUAGUAUGCAAACUGAGUACAAGUAGGUGGAAUCGCUUGUUAUGGCGAAUCAGAAUGUAGCGGUGAAUAAGUUCCCGUCUUUAGCACACACCGCCCGUCA